AUAUUGCGCAAUGGGCGAAAGCCUGACGCAGCGACGCCGCGUGAGGGACGAAGGCCUUCGGGUCGUAAACCUCUUUCAGCAGGGACGAAGCGAAAGUGACGGUACCUGCAGAAGAAGCACCGGCUAACUACGUGCCAGCAGCCGCGGUAAUACGUAGGGUGCAAGCGUUGUCCGGAAUUAUUGGGCGUAAAGAGCUCGUAGGCGGCUUGUCACGUCUGCUGUGAAAACUCGGGGCUCAACUCCGAGCCUGCAGUGGAUACGGGCUAGCUAGAGUGCGGUAGGGGAGACUGGAAUUCCUGGUGUAGCGGUGAAAUGCGCAGAUAUCAGGAGGAACACCGGUGGCGAAGGCGGGUCUCUGGACCGAUACUGACGCUGAGGAGCGAAAGCGUGGGGAGCGAACAGG
rnacentral:rRNA from 1 species